rnacentral:rRNA from 1 species
UACAGAGGUCUCAAGCGUUGUUCGGAUUCAUUGGGCGUAAAGGGUGCGUAGGCGGCGCGGUAAGUCGGGUGUGAAAUCUCGGGGCUUAACUCCGAAACUGCAUUCGAUACUGCCGUGCUUGAGGACUGGAGAGGAGACUGGAAUUUACGGUGUAGCGGUGAAAUGCGUAGAUAUCGUAAGGAAGACCAGUGGCGAAGACGGGUCUCUGGACAGUUCCUGACGCUGAGGCACGAAGGUCAGGGGAGCAAACGGG